rnacentral:lncRNA from 1 species
CCCGCAGAUAAAGCCCCAAACAACAUCAUUUGUGUGUGUAAAACUCAGUACAUUAACUGCUUGAAAAAUGAAUAAGUUAUUGAUAAUUCACUUGAAACUCAACAUAUACCCUCACGACACUUGCCAAAGAGGAAAUUGUGAAUAAUCAUAGGUCUGUUCUGUGUUCCUUUGGAAUUUCAACCAAAGAUGAAGAACUGGAUCAU